CUGAGUAGGGGUGUAGAUAUUGUUGUUGCCACUCCUGGUCAUUUGAACGACAUCUUGGAGAUAAGAAGAGUUAGCCUUGGUCAAGUUUCUUACUUGGUGUUAGAUGAAGCGGAUCAUAUGCUAGACAUGGGAUUUGAACCUCAUAUAAGGAAGAUUGUGAAGGAGGUGCCUUUGCAGAGGCAAACAUUGAUGUAUACAGCUACAUGGCCGAAGGGGGUUCGUAAGAAUUUGAACGACAUCUUGGAGAUGAGAAGAGUUAGCCUUGGUCAAGUUUCUUAAUUGGUGUUAGAUGAAGCGGAUCGUAUGUUGGACAUAGGAUUUGAACCUCAGAUAAGGAAGAUUAUGAAGGAGGUGCCUGUGCAGAGGCAAACAUUGAUGUAUACAGCUACAUGGCCGAAGGGGGUUCGUAAGAUUGUAGUAGAAUCUGUAUUAUAUAUGCCUAAGCAUAAAAGCUGAACCUGGUGUGGUUACAAUUAAGUCAAGAAGUUGUCGCUUGCAGCACAUUGAAGUC
rnacentral:lncRNA from 1 species